rnacentral:rRNA from 1 species
GCUCUGUGGAUUAGUGGCGAACGGGUGAGUAACACGUGAGUAACCUGCCCUUGACUCUGGAAUAAGCGUUGGAAACGACGUCUAAUACCGGAUACGAGCUUCAGCCGCAUGGCUAGGAGUUGGAAAGAAUUUCGGUCAAGGAUGGACUCGCGGCCUAUCAGGUAGUUGGUGAGGUAAUGGCUCACCAAGCCUACGACGGGUAGCCGGCCUGAGAGGGUGACCGGCCACACUGGAACUGAGACACGGUCCAGACUCCUACGGGAGGCAGCAGUGGGGAAUAUUGCACAAUGGGCGAAAGCCUGAUGCAGCAACGCCGCGUGAGGGACGACGGCCUUCGGGUUGUAAACCUCUUUUAGUAGGGAAGAAGCGAAAGUGACGGUACCUGCAGAAAAAGCACCGGCUAACUACGUGCCAGCAGCCGCGGUAAUACGUAGGGUGCAAGCGUUAUCCGGAAUUAUUGGGCGUAAAGAGCUCGUAGGCGGUUUGUCGCGUCUGCUGUGAAACCCCGAGGCUCAACCUCGGGCCUGCAGUGGGUACGGGCAGACUAGAGUGCGGUAGGGGAGAUUGGAAUUCCUGGUGUAGCGGUGGAAUGCGCAGAU